GCGAACGUGGCGGAAUUGGUAGACGCACCAGAUUUAGGUUCUGGCGCCGCAAGGUGUGAGAGUUCGAGUCUCUCCGUUCGCACCA
rnacentral:tRNA from 1 species